GAUGAACGCUGGCGGCGUGCCUAAUACAUGCAAGUCGAGCGAACAGACGAGGAGCUUGCUCCUCUGACGUUAGCGGCGGACGGGUGAGUAACACGUGGAUAACCUACCUAUAAGACUGGGAUAACUUCGGGAAACCGGAGCUAAUACCGGAUAAUAUAUUGAACCGCAUGGUUCAAUAGUGAAAGACGGUUUUGCUGUCACUUAUAGAUGGAUCCGCGCCGCAUUAGCUAGUUGGUAAGGUAACGGCUUACCAAGGCAACGAUGCGUAGCCGACCUGAGAGGGUGAUCGGCCACCUGGGAACUGAGACACGGUCCAGACUCCUACGGGAGGCAGCAGUAGGGAAUCUUCCGCAAUGGGCGAAAGCCUGACGGAGCAACGCCGCGUGAGUGAUGAAGGUCUUCGGAUCGUAAAACUCUGUUAUUAGGGAAGAACAAAUGUGUAAGUAACUAUGCACGUCUUGACGGUACCUAAUCAGAAAGCCACGGCUAACUACGUG
rnacentral:rRNA from 1 species